CGUUUCCUACAUUGUGUCUUGCGUGCGUGGAGGGAGAGUAAGUUUACCAGCCAUGACUUUUUUUAAAGGGACUUCAGAAGAAGCUGCUGGGAAGGGACUCAAAGUCUAAGACAAUGGGAUUCUCAUAAUUCCUCCCCCAAACGGACUCAUGGUUCCAAAUGGAGACUUGUUGCUGUGGGCAAACUUUGCCAGAAAUGCCUGUGUUAUGGAAAAGGAACCAGGAGAAAUGCGGGGUAGAGGGAGGAGGUCCCAGAGGACAAAUGCGUGAUGCCAGUGUCACAGCUGGGCAAGUGUUCAGUGAUGCCAGGCCGUCGGUCUGUUAUUUUCAUUUUGCGGUAUCCUCUCCCAGAUGCCAGCGUCACGGUCUCUGGGGAGCUUCUGUGUGAAAUUCCUUAACCCAAUCUCUUCCGCCAUCUGCGGUCGGCAGCUCUUCAGGCUGGCUCAGCUGCCUUCUGAAGCUCGGACUUGGAUUUCAUCUGAGACCACACAACUGGAGGAGGAAUUAAAUAGGACCCGAGAACACCUUGUCUUCUAUCCUCUCCUUUCUCCGAUGGAAAAACUGAGGCCCAAGGACAGCAGCGAAAUCCUUCAGGCCAUGCAGGGUAUGAGAGGCCUCUGUGUCCCAGAGCCCACAUCUUCUGCUAUAUUCUCUCUCAAUCCCAGGGCCUUGGUUCUCUCUCUACAGAAGGGAAACAGCUGGCAUGUGCUACUGGCCUUUCCCAAAGUUGCUUGGAACUCCCUUGGAAGAAACAUUCUACAAACUCAUUUUCCUGCAGGGUUCAGCAUUGCAGCUGCUGUGCGGUAAAUAACAAACAGUGAUGGUUGUUUCUGUCGUAUUUGUUCUCCAAGCCAGGGAGCACAGAGUUUGUGUGCCUUCUCCAAUUUAAUCCUCCUGAUCAACAUCUGAGAUAAGUGCUCCUAAGCUGCUCAUUAGAAAGAUAAAAGAAUGGCGGUUUAGAGAAGCUAAAUGCUUUCCUUGUGUGGGACAAAGCUCGUGAAAGUGAGAGCUGCCUCUCUGUGCAGACAUGCCUCUGAACUAGGAUAAACACAUACCAACACGCCUUUGUUACAGUGCCAUUGACCCAGGAUCUCACAUCAUUGGCUAGUGGCAGGUAUGUUGAUCUCCACCUUACCAGCGAUAUUAAGCAAUUUUCCUGGGAAUACAUAGCCAGUGCGGGGCAAUCCAGAGCUGAAGCAAAUCUAGGAAGUAGAAUAGGGGUCCCAAGUCCCCCUCUCCCCCUCCCUCUAACACACUGAACUAGAGUCUUUGGGGAAGAUAACUUAGAAUCUGUUCUUGGGACGCUUGGGUGGCUCAGUCGGUUAAGCUUCUGACUUCGGCUCAGGUCAUGAUCUCAUGGUUUGUGGGUUUGAGCCCCGCUUUGGGCUCUGUGCUGACAGCUCAGAGCCUGGAGCCUGCUUUGGAUCCUGUGUCUCCCUCUCUCUCUCUGUUCCUCCCUUUCUCGCACUCUGUCUCUUUCUCACUCAAAAAUAAAUAAACAUUAAAAAAUAAAAAAAAAAUAAAG
rnacentral:lncRNA from 1 species